rnacentral:rRNA from 1 species
GAUGAACGCUGGCGGCGUGCCUAAUACAUGCAAGUCGAGCGAGCGGCGGACGGGUGAGUAAUGUAUGGGGACUGCCCGAUCGAGGGGGAUAACUACUGGAAACGGUGGCUAAUACCGCAUACUAUCGGAUAACCCAUAUGGGAUUAGCUAGUAGGUGGGGUAAAGGCUCACCCAGGCGACGAUCUCUAGCUGGUCUGGGAGGAUGAUCAGCCACACUGGGACUGAGACACGGCCCAGACUCCUACGGAGGCAGCAGUGGGGAAUAUUGCACAAUGGGCGCAAGCCUGAUGCAGCCAUGCCGCGUGUAUGAAGAAGGCCUUAGGGUUGUAAAGUACUUUCAGCGGGGAGGCGUUACCCGCAGAAGAAGCACCGGCUAACUCCGUGCCAGCAGCCGCGGUAAUUC